rnacentral:rRNA from 1 species
CUUACACAUGCAGUCGAGGGGUAACAGAGAAAGCUUGCUUUUUUGCUGACGACCGGCGCACGGGUGCGUAACGCGUAUGCAAUCUACCUUUUGCUGAGGGAUAGCCCAGAGAAAUUUGGAUUAAUACCUCAUAGUAUGGUGACUUGGCAUCAAGAUAUCAUUAAAGGUCACGGCAAAAGAUGAGCAUGCGUUCUAUUAGUUAGUUGGUGUGGUAACGGCACACCAAGGCAGCGAUAGAUAGGGGUCCUGAGAGGGAGAUCCCCCACACUGGUACUGAGACACGGACCAGACUCCUACGGGAGGCAGCAGUGAGGAAUAUUGGACAAUGGAGGCAACUCUGAUCCAGCCAUGCCGCGUGCAGGAAGACUGCCCUAUGGGUUGUAAACUGCUUUUAUACAGGAAGAAACACCUCUACGUGUAGAGGCUUGACGGUACUGUAAGAAUAAGGAUCGGCUAACUCCGUGCCAGCAGCCGCGGUAAUACGGAGGAUCCAAGCGUUAUCCGGAAUCAUUGGGUUUAAAGGGUCCGUAGGUGGAUAAUUAAGUCAGAGGUGAAAUCCUGCAGCUUAACUGUAGAAUUGCCUUUGAUACUGGUUGUCUUGAGUUAUUAUGAAGUAGUUAGAAUAUGUAGUGUAGCGGUGAAAUGCAUAGAUAUUACAUAGAAUACCAAUUGCGAAUGCAGAUUACUAAUAAUAUACUGACACUGAUGGACGAAAGCGUGGGGAGCGAACAG